rnacentral:rRNA from 1 species
CAGUCGCCACGGGAAUACGGAGGGUGCAAGCGUUAAUCGGAAUUACUGGGCGUAAAGCGCACGCAGGCGGUCUGACAAGUCAGAUGUGAAAUCCCCGGGCUUAACCUGGGAACUGCAUUUGAAACUGUCAGGCUGGAGUCUUGUAGAGGGGGGUAGAAUUCCAGGUGUAGCGGUGAAAUGCGUAGAGAUCUGGAGGAAUACCGGUGGCGAAGGCGGCCCCCUGGACAAAGACUGACGCUCAGGUGCGAAAGCGUGGGGAGCAAACAGGAUUAGAUACCCCUGUAGUCCCUGUCUCUUAUAC